rnacentral:rRNA from 1 species
GACGGAGGAUGCAAGUGUUAUCCGGAAUCACUGGGCGUAAAGCGUUUGUAGGUGGUUUAAUAAGUCAACUGUUAAAUCUUGAGGCUCAACUUCAAAAUCGCAGUCGAAACUAUUAGACUAGAGUAUAGUAGGGGUAAAGGGAAUUUCCAGUGGAGCGGUGAAAUGCGUAGAGAUUGGAAAGAACACCAAUGGCGAAAGCACUUUACUGGGCUAUCACUGACACUGAGAGACGAAAGCUAGGGUAGCAAAUGGG